CGCGUGGCGGCAGCUCGCUCUUUUCCGUGCUUCGCAGCCGCCGAUAUUAAAGGUCUUGUCAGAGGGAGGUUUUCUGCCGUUGCCAUGUGGGAGCUGACUUCAAAAAGCCAUAGAGAGGAUCAGCGUGUGGAGUUGCGGGAGAAACAUCCAAAGGGAGCUAGAAGCUGUCCUCCAAGAUGAGCAAUUGUGAUUGAAAUGCCGACUCUUAACUGGAAAGAUGUUUCUCAUCUACCCAGUCUUCAAAGAUGGAAGUCCCUCCAGAUUUCCUUGAAGAGGCUUGUGAGAUACACACUAUUUGUAUUGCUGUGAACAUGGUUAAAAUCCGAGACCAGAUUUGCAUUAAAGUUGAAAACUGAAAGAUGAUUUUAGACUAAUACACUUCUGAGAUUCAUAGAGGUAGUAGGCUUGGACAAAUAUUACUACAAUUCAUUGUACCCAAAAGACUACUGAAAGUGUUCAUUUUUCCCUUGGCGCGAUGAAGACCUACAUCCUACAUAUUACGCAAAGAGAUUCUUUCCUGCAUUAUUGUGGCAGUAAGCUUAAAAGCUAACUUCUCUUCCCUUUGUUGUACACAAUUACUGAAUGGUUUCAAGUUUCAGAGCCCUGCAGAUGGCAGAGAAGGGAUCCUUAAAAAUUCAUAUUGCACCUCUUAAAGACAGCAAUCUCAAAGGUAUCCAGGCCCUGGGCCAUUUAGGACUUUGGAGGUAACAUUACUUUGAAUUGCAUCCAUAAGCCAACUGGUGUCCAGUGCACCAUCUAAAACAUUAUUAGGGAGUUGUAAACUAAUAAAUACACUACAAGCCUAUGAAGAACGCCUAGAGAGUGUUUGGACGCCUAGAGAGAUGCCUAGAGAGUGUUUGGAGGUUUGGAAAAGACGCCUAGAGAGUGUUUGGAGUCCAGCCGAUCUGAAUCCGAUCGAACACUAGUAAGGUCUCAUAUUCAGACCUACCUAGUGGCGAUAAGAGCGGCAAAACAUGAGUAUUUUUCCGCUCUUAUUGCAUCAGCAGAUAACCGCCCAGCCGCCCUGUUUAGGGUGACCCUCUCCCUUCUUGCGCAGGGAGCUCAGGAGGCCCCCCUGCAGGGCCGUGCUGAGGAUUUUGGAUAAUAUCUGAGGAUUUUGGAUAAAAUCGCUCAGAUCCGGGAUGGUCUGGACGCUGAUUGGGUAGAUUUGGGUGGGAUGACAGAGGUAGUUCUUGAGAAUGUUACAUGGGGAGAGUUUGAUACUGUGACUCCCGAGGACAUGGACAGGAUACUGAGGAGGCUGAAUGCAACCACAUGUUUAUUGGACCUGUGUCCCUCCUGGUUGGUACUGGCCACUGGUAAUUACCAACGCUUCUUUAACGGAGGGUGUCUUUCCUACUGCCUUGAAAGAGGCAGUAAUGAGGCCCCUCCUUAAGAAGCCCUCCUUGGACCCGGCUAUUUUGGCAAACUAUCAGUCCUGUCUCUAACCUUCGCUUUGUGGCUAAGGUUGUUGAGAGUGUGAUGGCAUGUCAGCUUCCCAGGUACCUGGAUGAAACUGUCUAUUUAGACCCAUUCCAGUCCGGCUUCAGGCCUGGGUACAGCACGGAGACGAUUUUGGUCGUGUUGGUCGAUGAUCUCUGGAGGUCUUGGGACGGGCUGUUCCUCUGUCCUGGUCCUAUUAGAUCUCUCAGCGGCUUUUGAUACCAUCAACCAUGGUAUCCUGCUGUGGCGGCUGGGGGGCUUAGGAGUGGGGGUCACCAUUCUUCGGUGGUUCUAUUUCUGACCGAUCGCCGACGGUGUUGGCAGGGGGGCAGAAAUUGACCUCAAAGCAUCUUGUGGGGUGCCGCAGGGGACGGGAUCUCUCUCUCCUGUUCAACAUCUAUAUGAAGCCGCUGGGUGAGAUUAUCCGUGGUUUCAGGAUGGAAUACCAUCUGUACGCUGAUGACACUCAGCUGUACAUCUCCACCGCUAACCAUCCCAACGAAACCAUUGAAGUGAUGUCCCGGUGUCUGGACGCCGUGCGGGUCUGGAUGGGGAAGAACAGACUUUAAUUCAACCCAUCCAAGACAGAGUGGCUGUGGAUGCCGGCAUCCCGGUACAACCAGCUUAUUCCAUCGCUGACUGUUGGGGGUGAAUCAUUGGGGGAGGGUUCGCAAUUUAGGCGUCCUCCUGGACGAUCAGCUGUCUUUAGAAGCUUUUUAUCAGGUGCGCCUGAUUCGCCAAUUGCAUCCCUUGACCAGGAUUCCCCACGCACUCAUUCCCUACGUCACUCAUGCCCUUGUCACUUCCCACCUGGACUACUGCAAUGGGGCUCCCUUUGAAGAGCACCAGGAAGCUCCAGCUGGUCCAGAACGGGACUGUGUGGGUAAUAUAGGGAGCAUCACGAUGUUCCCAUGUUCCCACUAACAUGCAGUUAGUCCAGAAUGCGGCUGCGCGGGUGAUAGAUGGAGCGGAUCGGAGCUCCCAUAUGACACCUAUCCUGCGCAGACUGCACUGGCUACCUGUGGCCUUCCGGGUGCGCUUCAAGGUCUUGGUAACCACCUUUAAAGCGCUCCAUGGCAUAGGGCCGGGCUAUUUACGGGACCGCCUCCUGCUACCGAAUACCUCUCACCGACCUGUGCGCUCUCACAGAGAGGGACUCCUCAGGGUGCCGUCAGCGAGGCAGUGUCGUCUGGCGACGCCCAGGGGAAGGGCCUUCUCUGUGGGGGCUCCCACCCUCUGGAACAAACUACCCCCAGGACUUCGUCAACUUCCGGACCUUCGAAGCUUCCGUCGCGAGCUUAAAACACACUUAUUCAUUUGCGCAGGACUGGAUUAGAUUUUAAAUUUAUUGGUUUUAAAUGGGUUUUAUUUUUUAUAUUUUUAAACAUUCGGCCUUUUAGAAUAAGUUUUUUAAUUGUUAUUUUAACUCUGUAUUUAUGUGUUUUUAUUUGCCUGUGAACCGCCCUGAGUCCUUCGGGAGAUAGGGCGGUAUAUAAAUACGAAUAAUAAAUAAAUAAAUAAACACCUGCGCAGCCUGCACUGGCUGUCGGUAGUCUUCCGGGUGCAAUUCAAGGUGUUGGUUAUCACCUUUAAAGGGCUCCAUGGCACAGGACCGGGUUACUUAAGAGACUGCCUACUGCCACCAAUAGCCUCCCAUUGGCCUGUGCCCUCCCAUAGGGAGGGCCUCCUCAGGGUGCCGUCAGUCAAACAAUCCGACUGGCGGCCCCCAGGAGGAGGGCCUUCUCUGGGGGGCUCCUGCCCUUUGGAAUGAGCUGUCUCCGGGGUUGCGUCAACUCCCUGACCUCUGGACUUUUAAGCGCAAGCUGAAGACCCUUUUUAUUCCACUGUGCGGGGCUAGCCUAACGAAAUUUUAAUGGGGUUUUUAUGAUGGUUUACAUUAGUUUAUUUUAUUUGGCCAACUUUUUAGAAUCAGUUUUUUAAUAUGUUUUUAAUUUUGUUUAUAUCUGUGGUUUUUAUUUUUGCUGUAAACCGUCCUGAGUCCUUUGGGAGAAGGGCGGUAUAAAAAUUGAAUGAAUAAAUAAAUAAAGUACUGGCUUAACCAAAGGUACUUGGUUGGCUAUAUGGAAAGUGAGUGGUACCGGUAGUUCAGCCAGGAGGAGAUAAGAAAAGCUGUUCAAUAUACAGAUGCACCUAAAAGUGAAACUGAUUUCUUAGGUUUCGGUUACUUUUCUGCAGCCCUUAAGAUUUUUUUUAACUUAAGCCUGUAGAUAAGUCCUUUAAAAUGCCUUUUGAAGUUACAUGAAAAAAUAACACCAAGUGAACUAUUAAUUCAAGCAAUUAAGGCUCUGCGGAUUGAAUCCCCCCUCAUAGCAUUUAAAUUGUAAAAUAAGACUUAUUUUUGCAGCUGAGCUUCAAAAAAUGAGCUAAAGAAAUUGCAAAUUUUCAGUUUCAUGACACCAGUAUUCUGUUUUGCUUCUGAAAAUUUUGUACCUAAUGGAAAUUCAUGCAGAUUACUUGUUGCUGGCAAUCCUUAUGAUUUAUAUUGAUAUAUUGAUCAUCAAUUGUGUUGUAAAUGUUGUACCUUGAUGAAGGUAUCUUUUCUUUUAUGUACACUGAGAGCAUAUGCACCAAGACAAAUUCCUUGUGUGUCCAAUCACACUUGGCCAAUAAAAAAAAAUUCUAUUCUA